CCCCAGCCAUGGCUCGCUCAUUGUUCCUAUGCUCACUCCUCAUCCUCGCUGUCACCACCUUUUCCUCACCCACGGGUGCUCUUAUCCUGACCCUAGUCAACAACUGCAACUACACCGUGUGGCCCGGCAUCCAGCCCAACGCCGGCCACCCCGUCCUCGCCGGCGGCGGCCUCACCCUCCGCUCCCUCACCCACCAAUCCAUCCCCGUCCCCGACGCCCACUGGUCCGGCCGCGUCUGGGCCCGCACCGGCUGCUCCUACUCCGGCACCGCCUUCUCCUGCGCCAGCGGCGACUGCGGCGGCCGCCUCCAGUGCAACGGCGCCGGGGGCGCCGCACCCGCCACCCUCGCCCAGCUCGAGGUCCACCACGGCAGCAACGACUACGCCUCCUACGGCGUCAGCCUCGUCGACGGUUUUAACGUCCCCAUGACCUUCACCCCGCACGAGGGCAAAGGCGUGUGCCCUGUCGUGGGUUGCCGCAACGACCUUCUCGCCACGUGUCCGCGCGUGCUGCAGCACCGUGUGCCCGCGGGUCACGGACCCGUGGUGGCUUGCAAGAGCGGGUGCGAGGCUUUUCACACGGACGAACUCUGUUGCAGGAACCAC
rnacentral:lncRNA from 1 species